AACGAACGCUGGCGGCAGGCUUAACACAUGCAAGUCGAACGCCCCGCAAGGGGAGUGGCAGACGGGUGAGUAACACGUGGGGAUCUGCCCAAUGGUACGGAAUAAUUCCGGGAAACUGGGACUAAUACCGUAUGUGCCCGCAAGGGGAAAGAUUUAUCGCCAUUGGAUGAACCCGCGUCGGAUUAGCUAGUUGGUGAGGUAAAGGCUCACCAAGGCGACGAUCCGUAGCUGGUCUGAGAGGAUGAUCAGCCACACUGGGACUGAGACACGGCCCAGACUCCUACGGGAGGCAGCAGUGGGGAAUAUUGGACAAUGGGCGCAAGCCUGAUCCAGCCAUGCCGCGUGAGAGAUGAAGGCCUUAGGGUUGUAAAGCUCUUUCGCCGACGAAGAUAAUGACGGUAGUCGGAGAAGAAGCCCCGGCUAACUUCGUGCCAGCCGCCGCUGUAACAC
rnacentral:rRNA from 1 species